CAUUCAACUUGGAUGGUUAUGCCGUUGACUGUCUUCGGCAUAACCAUUCAACUUGUAUGGUUAUGCCGUUGACUGUCGUCGGCAUAACCAUUCAA